GACGAACGCUGGCGGCGUGCUUAACACAUGCAAGUCGAACGGAAAGGCCCUGCUUUUGUGGGCUGCUCGAGUGGCGACCGGGUGAGUAACCCGUGAGUAACCUACCCUUGACUUUGGGAUAACUUCAGGAAACUGGAGCUAAUACCGGAUAGGAUCUCCUGCUGCAUGGUGGGGGUUGGAAAGUUUCGGCGGUUGGGGAUGGACUCGCCGCUUAUCAGCUUGUUGGUGGGGUAGUGGCUUACCAAGGAUUUGCCGGCUAGCCGGCCUGAGAGGGUGACCGGCCAGAUAGGGACUGAGAGACGGCCCGCACACAUUCGGGCGGCAGGAGUGGGUAAUGUUGCACAGAGGGCGGACGCAUGAUUGAGCAACCCAUGGUGCGGGAGGACGGCAUUCGGGUGGUAAGCAGCUUUCGCCUGUGACGAAGCAUGAGUGACGGUACUGGAGAAAGAGGCACCGCCUACUUCCGG
rnacentral:rRNA from 1 species